AUGGCGCGCGGCCUCCGCCAUCUCCUGCUCCUCGCAGCGCUCCUCCAGCUGCUUUCGGCCACCUCCGCGGCGACGGCCGGCGACGUCGCCACUGGCAGGGGCAGCGAGAAGGUGCACGUGGCGAUCUACUACGAGUCGCUGUGCCCCUACUCGGUCCGCUUCGUGGCGAACCACCUCUUCAAGGCCUACAGGGACGGCCUGCUCGACGCCGCCAAUCUCACCCUCGUCCCCUAUGGCAACGCCGUGGUCCGCAAUGACGGCACCAUCUCCUGUCAGCAUGGCCCCGAGGAAUGCCUUCUCAACACCGUGGAGGCUUGCGCCAUCGACGCCUGGCCGGACGUGAAGGUGCAUCUCGGCUUCAUUUACUGCGUGUCGGACCUGGUGUUGAAGAACAAGCACCGGGAGUGGGAGUCGUGCUUCCAGAAACAGGGGCUUGACCCAAAGCCAGUCACGGAGUGCUACAAGGGCGAGCGUGGCCACAAUUGCUGGCAUUUCGCAUGUUCCAUCCAGCUAUCGCUCGAGUAUGGGAGACAGACAGCUGAGCUCGUGCCUCCUCACCAGUUCGUUCCAUGGGUGGUGGUCGACGGCAAGCCGCUCUACAACUCCUUGAAUCGAUCUUGUCCCGGUAUCAGGAUUACGGGAACUUCAAAGCUUACAUCUGCAAGGCGUACAAGGGCUAUCCCCUCCUCGAGGCGUGUCGAAGCCUGGGCCUGGAGGCACACGACGAUGUGUACGGCCGACUUUGAUCGUGAUGAUGAUGAUGCCAUCGCCAAGAUUAGGAUGGUCCUGCCGGAUGGUGAUAAUAAUGAUUGA
rnacentral:rRNA from 1 species